GGAGUUUGAUCAUGGCUCAGAUUGAACGCUGGCGGCAUGCUUUACACAUGCAAGUCGAGCGGCAGCGCGGGGCAACCUGGCGGCGAGCGGCGGACGGGUGAGUAAUGCAUCGGAACGUAUCCCGUAGUGGGGGACAACCCAGCGAAAGCUGGGCUAAUACCGCAUAUGCUCUACGGAGGAAAGUGGGGGACCCGCAAGGGCCUCACGCUAUGGGAGCGGCCGAUGUCCGAUUAGCUAGUUGGUGGGUAAAGGCCCACCAAGGCGACGAUCGGUAGCUGGUCUGAGAGGAUGAUCAGCCACACUGGGACUGAGACACGGCCCAGACUCCUACGGGAGGCAGCAGUGGGGAAUUUGGACAAUGGGGGCAACCCUGAUCCAGCCAUGCCGCGUGCGGGAAGAAGGCCUUCGGGUUGUAAACCGCUUUUGGUCGGGAAGAAAAGGCGUCUCCUAAUACGGGGCGUUCUUGACGGUACCGGCAGAAUAAGCACCGGCUAACUACGUG
rnacentral:rRNA from 1 species